CCUACGGGGAGCUGCAGUGAGGAAUAUUGGUCAAUGGACGAGAGUCUGAACCAGCCAAGUAGCGUGAAGGAUGACUGCCCUAUGGGUUGUACACUUCUUUUAUAUGGGAAUAAAAUGUUCCACGUGUGGGAUUUUGUAUGUACCAUAUGAAUAAGGAUCGGCUAACUCCGUGCCAGCAGCCGCGGUAAUACGGAGGAUCCGAGCGUUAUCCGGAUUUAUUGGGUUUAAGGGGAGCGUAGGUGGAUUGUUAAGUCAGUGGUGAAAGUUUGCGGCUAAACCGUAAAAUUGCAGUUGAAACUGGCAGUCUUGAGUAAAGUAGAGGUGGGCGGAGGUCGUGGUGUAGCGGUGAAAUGCUUAGAUAUAACGAAGAACUCGGAUUGCGAAGGCAGCUCACUGGACUGAAACUGACACUGAGGCUCGAAAGUGUGGGUAUAAAACAGGAUUAGAUACCCUGUAGUC
rnacentral:rRNA from 1 species